rnacentral:rRNA from 1 species
UGGGGAAUUUUUGGACAAUGGGCGAAAGCCUGAUCCAGCAAUGCCGCGUGUGUGAAGAAGGCCUUCGGGUUGUAAAGCACUUUUGUCCGGAAAGAAAUCCUUGGCUCUAAUACAGUCGGGGGAUGACGGUACCGGAAGAAUAAGCACCGGCUAACUACGUGCCAGCAGCCGCGGUAAUACGUAGGGUGCAAGCGUUAAUCGGAAUUACUGGGCGUAAAGCGUGCGCAGGCGGUUUGCUAAGACCGAUGUGAAAUCCCCGGGCUCAACCUGGGAACUGCAUUGGUGACUGGCAGGCUAGAGUAUGGCAGAGGGGGGUAGAAUUCCACGUGUAGCAGUGAAAUGCGUAGAGAUGUGGAGGAAUACCGAUGGCGAAGGCAGCCCCCUGGGCCAAUACUGACGCUCAUGCACGAAAGCGUGGGGAGCAAACAGGAUUAGAUACCCUGGUAGUCCACGCCCUAAACGAUGUCAACUAGUUGUUGGGGAUUCAUUUCCUUAGUAACGUAGCUAACGCGCGAAGUUGACCGCCUGGGGAGUACGGUCGCAAGAUU